UACAGAGGUCUCAAGCGUUGUUCGGAUUUAUUGGGCGUAAAGCGUGCGCAGGCGGCGCGUUAAGACAGGUGUGAAAGCCCCGAGCUUAACUUGGGAAUUGCGCUUGUGACUGGCGAGCUGGAGUGUGGCAGAGGGAGGUGGAAUUCCACGUGUAGCAGUGAAAUGCGUAGAGAUGUGGAGGAACACCGAUGGCGAAGGCAGCCUCCUGGGCCAGCACUGACGCUCAUGCACGAAAGCGUGGGGAGCAAACAGG
rnacentral:rRNA from 1 species